rnacentral:misc_RNA from 1 species
GAAAUGCGAUAAGUAAUGUGAAUUGCAGAAUUCAGUGAAUCAUCGAAUCUUUGAACGCACAUUGCGCCCGCCAGCACUCUGGCGGGCAUGCCUGUUCGAGCGUCAUUUCAACCCUCAGAACCCCUUGCGGGAUCUGGCGUUGGGGACGCCGCCCCCGAAAUCUAGUGGCGGCCCUCCGAGGCGACCUCUGCGUAGUAACUUGUUCUCGCACCGGAAAGCUCAGAGCGGCCACGCCGUAAAACCCCAACUUUUUUCAGGUUGACCUCGAAUCAGGUAGGACUACCCGCUGAACUUAA